rnacentral:rRNA from 1 species
CACGUAGGCGGCUUAGCAAGUCGGAUGUGAAAUCCCUCGGCUUAACCAAGGAAGUGCAUCCAAAACUGCUGAGCUUGAGUACUUAAGAGGAUCGCGGAAUUCCCGGUGUAGAGGUGAAAUUCGUAGAUAUCGGGAGGAACACCAGUGGCGAAGGCGGCGAUCUGGGAAGAUACUGACGCUGAGGUGCGAGAGCGUGGGGGAGCAAACA